UUGGGACACUACAUACGUGUGUGCCAAAUUUCGUAUAUUAAUGUGAAAUGUAGCAGGUGGGGCAUCACAAUUCCAAAAGGUUCCUUGCACCAUUGGUUCUCAAGCCCUUAAAUACUGUAUAUUGUAAAUAAUUCUAAAUUAUAAAAAAAACAGUAAAUGGAAAAAUUAAAGCUUAUACAGAUAAAUCUGAUGGCAACAAUUACAGGUAAGUAACUACACUGAAGCAUAAUAAUAUCUAAAUAUAAUUUUCUAAUAACAAUACAGUAAUGAAAUGAUUUACAUGGUGUAUUUUUAUAUGUGCAGAAACUUACAGUGAUACAAUAUUCUCUAAACAAAAAGAAAGAAAUCUAACUGUUAAUGUUGCCUGCUGUUCUAAGAGUUUAAAUCAGCAAACACACUGUACCCGAAGAAAAGAUUGCAGAAACUAAUAAUUUACAACAACCUUUAAAAAAAAAAAAAAAACCUUUAGUGUAUUGCUGAUAUUAAGAGCCUCAGAUAACUUAAUACAAAGUUCCCCUUCCACUCAUAUUAUUGCUGGGCUUGUCAUUAAGUAAUGUUCUAUUAUAAAUCAGUUUUUCUUGUGUACAUGCACAAUAGCACAUAGAGUUUGCUGUGUUCAUCCUCUCCUAUGAUUUUCAUCUUACUGCUGACAUUUGGUCUUGAAAAGAAGUAAAACCAUCUACAUCAAUGGUAAACAGAAGUAGGAGGAAUUAUGGUAAUCUGUUCAUUUGCUUACCCAAUGAAUUCUGUUCUAAAAUCAAUGAAUAUGCAUAAGAAAAGUAUAUAAACUGUUUCUGACCAAUAAACUGAAGGAGACUGAAGCAAACGACUGUGUGUGUGUCUCGUUCUUCCCGUGUGUGUUUGCAUGAAGAGAAUCUGAAGAAGAACGUAUUUCCAGCAAGAAAAGAAUCAUGUGUCUUUUGUGGCCUCUGCUGUUUCUUCUUGUUUCUGCACAGUGUCAGACUCUGUUUGAUAAUUUCUCACUGGAGCUGAAGCCACCAAAUGAGAGAGAAUUAUUUGUCAAUGAUAAAGUUGUCUUGCAAGUUGUUGUUUCUGGAGAUAAAUGUCAGUCAGCGGAAAAGGCUUCAGUGGCAUGCAAAGUAAAGAAUGAAUCAGGAAAUAUAUACUUUUCUGAGGACACUUCACCGUUUAUAAGAGUCAAAAAUGUCACUGUUGAUGCAAAUAAAUGGUUUGAUGGUGAACCGGUCACCUGCACCAUUCAUGACCCAAAUAACAACAGAGACUUCCAGUGGGAGAUCCGUUUCGACAAAGGAGAUGGACAGAAACCCAGUGUUUUCAUUUACAAACCUGAUUUUAUUGGCACAGACAGAGUCUCUCUGGUGUGUGAGGUCACCAGCCCUAAACUUGGCAAUGUCUAUAUCAUGUGGAAAGUGGACGAUGAGCCUUACAGAAAGGGCUCAACCAGCGCUCCCAUCCAUCAACGGGACUCCACAUCUGUACUCAGCAUACUAACAUUGUCAAAAGAAGAGUAUGAAGCUUCCAAGACCACCAUCACCUGCGCAGUCAUACAUGCCAACAUGAAUAAUAGAAGAGCUCCAUUACAAGUUUCAGCAUCCAAAAGUAAACAGCCAGAGUUAUAUUGUGAUUAAAGAACUGGACCAAAUGAUCACUGCGUUUAUGAUGUUGACUUCUAUGUUCUCAUCAGAUCAUAUAUCUUCGGUGUUUGUGCACUUUUCUGUCUGUAUCUGUUUCACUGAACUGAAUCGUUCAGACAUCAAUACCAAAUUAAAGUCCGAACUAUGUGCGUAAUAUGUUAUUGCAUGCAAUAAAUAUGUCCACACAAAACAUAUAAUCAGCAUAAAUAUCAUAGUGUGAAAAUUCAAGUGUUUUCAAGAACAUGUCCUGUGCUUUCUGUACUGCUGUUUACCCAGUCAUGCCAUGUAAUAUAUUCUAACAUUUUCAAAUUUUGUUUGCUAAAAAUUAUGAUUUCAAAUCCAAAACAGUUCAUUUUGUUGUUUUAGAAUAUUAAGCAAUAAAUAUUUGUGUUUGCAUGAUUCAGUUUAGCUCUCAAUGUGAUUCUGCAUAUAGUAAAGCCAAUUAUUGUUUCCAAUAGUGACUAUUAUAGUUACUAGUUAAUAAUGCAGUGCAAUUCAUGACAAACAUUACCCACUCAUUGUAGUGAUGAGUUAUGUAUUUUUAAUUAAUCUUUUGAAUGACUCAGUGAAUGAUUUGUUAAUUGUCAUGGCCGUCUAUGAACAACACUUUUUUCACUUAUGUUUGUUUACAAGAAUCCCUACAGUCACACGAGAAACUAAUUAACUUUUUUUAUUUAUACAACACAUUACAAAGGCAGAAAUAAAUCAAAUAAAUACAAAAUCCUUUAUGAUUAAAAAAAUAAAAUAAAAUGAUCCUUAACCUCUUAAGUUCUCUCUUUCAUGUUAUCUAUAUUGUUUUUAAUUUAUCUUGUUCUGCAUAACACUUUGGCCCUGGAGGAACAUUGUUUCAUUUCACUGUGUACUGUAUAUAGCUGAAAUGACCAGCCAGAGUUUUAAUACAAUAAAGCCACAUCUGUCAGCUACUCAUUGCUAUAACACGUGUACAUAUGAUUGUAUACAUACAAUUUAUCCUUGAAUAGACAAAGUCAAAUGUUGAAACUGACCCCACAGCAGAGGACAACAGUCCACAGGGGCAGUGGCAACAUUCAUUGAAAUGUAAUUAAAACCAUUCUUAAAUGUCAUUUUGCAAUUUCUUUAUUUAUUUGUACACAUGUAUUUAACAAGAUGUACAUGUUGUUAGAAGAUAUAGCCUAUAAGAAGGUAAUUUUUAACCUUCUUUUAAACAUCUUUAACUCUGCUACAUUGUAUUGUAUUGUAAGAAAUAAAUUACACUAUUAAAAAUAUUUCCUACAAAUUUAAGAAAAUAAGUUAUUUCAAACUUACCUUUGUUUCAAAGCUAGCAAAACUUGCAAAUAAAGUUGAAGACGCUUGAGUUUAACAUUUUCAGUGUUUACAAUAGAUUGUUAUGAAUUCUGAAGGAAACAUUUUGCGAUGCCAAUUGCAAACAUAUUUAGUCAUGACUGUACCAUUACAAUGUUGGAAAGC
ensembl:lncRNA